GAGAACUGGCAAUUUCAGCGUGGUAUGGCCGUAAACGUAAAGGUAGCAUUCCGAUCUCGGCAGUCGCGACCCAGCAGUCGCUGCACGGCAGCCGCAGCCGUGGUCGCGGCAUACCGCUCGUAGGGAUUUACGUGCAACGCUUUCCGAUACAAGCGACUCAGCAGCGCGGCUGGGGGGCGUGUCCUGCACGCGACCACGGCAGCACCGCCGAGCCGCUUCGAGAGCAGUACCUAUAGCAGCGCUGCCCGCUCUUUACAAUAGUAAACAUGGCUUUGUUUACAGAUGAAAAUGACGAGGUUUUAAUCGAAUUAAUAUCUUAAAAUCCGCCGCUUUUCGAUUCCAAACUCGCAGCCUAUAAGGACAAUAUUGUUCGUGAGAAUAUAUGGGAGCAUAUUGCUACUAAACUCAAUAAAACAAACGAUGACUGCAGAAAACGAUGAAAAUGCAUCAGAGAUUCCUAUCAAAGAAUCAAGCGCAAAAAUAAACUACCGACUGGAUCAGCAGCCGGCAGCAAACCAAAAAAAUGGCCUUUGAUUGAAAGACUCAGUUUUUUGGAAAAAGUUCCUACAGAAAGAAGCACUAUAUCAAAUAUUGAGUUAGCUAACGAUGCCAAUGAUACUGAAAGUGAAGUACCACAUGAUGUUGAAAACGGUUUCAAUAGAGAAAAAGAAGGUUUUGUGGAACCUGGUGAUGAAAUCGAAAUGAACAGCGGAGGUGCAAGUGAAGCAGUAAUGGUCAGUGCAUCGACUAGUGCAAUAGAGCAAAACAUUUCAGAAACGGCUGAUAUGAAACAAAACAAAAAGAGUGGAAAAUCUAGUCGGUGUGAAUUCAAAAAAAAAAAAAGGAAAGUCAAAAUAGUUCUUUGCAGAUGGCUCUACUGCAAUACUGGAAAGAGAGAGACGCUGAAAGGA